rnacentral:lncRNA from 10 species
UGGAGGCGCAGCGGCCCCGCGAGCAGACGCGCAGUGUCUUUCAGAUUUCCAAGUCUCUUCUGGUGUGCUGAGGUAUAUUUCAAUGUCUUCUCUCCGCUGAGGAUGACAGGGAGGACUCACGUAGCCACAUUGGCAAUGUUCUUUCAGAAGCACUAUUUGGGAACCUUGGAGCCUCUGGAAGAUGAACACCAUACCAUCCACAAUGUCAGGAUGAAAGUAGCUUCACUUCCCUGGGGUUCACGCCGUGGACAGUGCAACCUUCAGAUGCAAGGCUGAGCAUGAUUCAUUUAAAUCCCACCUGGAACUAUUCAAACAGGUGUGUGUCUAUGCUGAUUAGUUCUCAUUUCCACACUUAGAGAGCCCUCUAGAAUUGGAAUGGGUAUAAUAGUGGUAUUCAGCCCAUUCAAAUGUCGAUUAAUUAGCAAGUAUUCUGUGCACUUAUACUACUAUAUUCUCGUGUGUUAAGUAAGCUUGUAUACACAUAAUAACCUCCAGCAAAAUUGACCUGUGAAGGAGAGGUUGGUUAGAAACUGAAUUCCACAGUAGCCACAUGUGUCCAAAGUAUCCCUUUUUCUGUAAAAUCCCUCAUUUGGGCACAGCAUGAAUAUAUACUUUUACUAUUCAGCCAAAAGUGGGAGAUUUGCUUGAAGCCUUUGAUUAAUGCAAAUAAUUGCUACACUAAAGCAGCUCUGAUGCUUGGGAGGCCAUUAGCGGUGCACAGCUGCCAUCAACUAGGAACAACCUGCGCAUACAAAGAUGAUUCAUGGCCCAAUUCGGUAGCUUGAGCAUACUGAGUGUCCUAGAAUUUAGUCCAUAUAACUCUUAGAGUUGAAUAGUGUGUAUGUGGGGGAAGGGGAAUGCAGGCGUCUGGGAGAAAGUGCCAGCAGAGGUGGUAGAGCAGAAUGGGUAAAUAAAAGAAGAUAUCCUCUACAGGGUUGGAAAGGUGUGAUACCUUUCUUCACCCACCAUAAGGGUUACGACUGACACUCCUAUAAAAAAAAAAACACAGGUAAUAACAGAAAAGCAUAACCACUUUAUUUAAACACAGUUUUACAUGACACAAAAGGCUUUAGAAAUAAAGACCCAAAUACCCAG